UACGUAGGGGGCAAGCGUUGUCCGGAAUCAUUGGGCGUAAAGAGCGUGUAGGCGGCCCGAUAAGUCCGCUGUGAAAGUCCAGGGCUCAACCCUGGAAUGCCGGUGGAUACUGUCGGGCUCGAAUCCGGAAGAGGUGAGUGGAAUUCCUGGUGUAGCGGUGAAAUGCGCAGAUAUCAGGAGGAACACCAAUGGCGAAGGCAGCUCACUGGGACGGUAUUGACGCUCAUGCACGAAAGCGUGGGGAGCAAACAGG
rnacentral:rRNA from 1 species